CAACCAACAACCGGGCGAUUGGGAAUGCGGCUAUUAUGUAAUGAAAUGGAUGAUGGAUUUUGUGAUGGUUGAACAACACGGAUUCUUGAGUAGAACGACUACACUUUGGAAGGACACCACUCCUUUUUCGGAAACCACCUUGUUUUCAAUUGUUGUUAAGUGGGCAACACAAUUUCUGAACAAAUAUAUAAAAGAUGUGGUUUUCUAGAAAGACAUAUCGUUAUGGCAAAACAAAAGGAACAAUGGUGAAAGUUGGACUCGUUGUGAUUGGAAGACUCACAUUGACUGGAACCAUCAAUGUUGUUUUUUUUUUAAUUGUUCAAGUUAUAUAUUUUUUUUUCCAGCUACAACAAUUGCUUAACUAGUUAACUUAUAUUUGCAUUACUGUUUGAACUUUAUUAUUGUUAUGGGCA